rnacentral:rRNA from 1 species
AGGAAUAUUGGUCAAUGGGCGCAAGCCUGAACCAGCCAUCCCGCGUGCAGGAAGACGGCGCUAUGCGUUGUAAACUGCUUUUCCAGGGAGAGAAACUUGCGCACGUGUUGCGCAAUUGACGGUACCCUGGGAAUAAGCAUCGGCUAACUCCGUGCCAGCAGCCGCGGUAAUACGGAGGAUGCGAGCGUUAUCCGGAUUCAUUGGGUUUAAAGGGUGCGUAGGCGGACUAUUAAGUCAGUGGUGAAAUCCUGCAGCUUAACUGCAGAACUGCCAUUGAUACUGAUAGCCUUGAGUUUGCUUAAGGUAGGCGGAAUGUGUAAUGUAGCGGUGAAAUGCUUAGAUAUUACACAGAACACCAAUUGCGUAGGCAGCUUACUGAGCCGACACUGACGCUGAGGCACGAAAGCGUGGGGAUCGAACAG